rnacentral:other from 2 species
CGCAUUCUGGUGCGUUUGUGAUGGAGAUAGGACAUUUGAGGCAAUUAGAGAUUAGAGGGGCUUUCAAUUCGGGUGCGGUGAGCAAGCCAUGCGUUUCGCAAGGAAGCCUGAAGUGUCCGAUGAUUUCCCCACCUAUACAGACUGGGUUCUCAUGUUGCCCUGCCACACGGCGUUUCGGGGCGGCU